GACGAACGCUGGCGGCGUGCUUAACACAUGCAAGUCGAACGGUGAAGCGCCUUCCUUUUUGGUGGGUGUGGAUGAGUGGCGAACGGGUGAGUAACACGUGAGUAACCUGCCCCCUUCUUCUGGAUAACCGCAUGAAAGUGUGGCUAAUACGGGAUAUUCUGGGUCUGUCGCAUGAUGGGUCUGGGAAAGAUAUUGCUUCGGUGGGGGAUGGGCUCGCGGCCUAUCAGCUUGUUGGUGGGGUGAUGGCCUACCAAGGCGGUGACGGGUAGCCGGCCUGAGAGGGUGGACGGACACACUGUGACUGAGACACGGCUCAGACUCCUACGGGGGGCAGCAGUGGGGAAUAUUGCAGAAUGGGCGCGAGCCUGAUGCAGCGACGCCGCGUGAGGGAUGGAGGCCUUCGGGUUGUGAACCUCUUUCGGCAGUGAAGCAGGCCUGCGUCGUUUGUGGGUGGGUUGACGGUAGCUGGAUAAGAAGCGCCGGCUAAAUACGUGC
rnacentral:rRNA from 1 species